rnacentral:rRNA from 1 species
CGUGCCUAAUACAUGCAAGUCGAACGCAUUUGUGGUUGAAAUGAUAUGAAGAACUUGUUCAGUAUUUGAUUUUCAACAUUGCAAUGAGUGGCGAACGGUGAGUAACACGUAGGGAAACCUACCUCUUAGCAGGGGAUAACAUUUGGAAACAAAUGCUAAUACCGUAUAAUAAUUAAAACCGCAUGGUUUUAGUUUAAAAGAUGGUCUUGCUAUCACUAAGAGAUGGUCCCGCGGUGUAUUAGUUAGUUGGUGAGGUAAUGGCUCACCAAGACAAUGAUACAUAGCCGAGUUGAGAGACUGACCGGCCACAAUGGGACUGAGACACGGCCCAUACUCCUACGGGAGGCAGCAGUAGGGAAUCUUCCACAAUGGACGAAAGUCUGAUGGAGCAACGCCGCGUGUGUGAUGAAGGGUUUCGGCUCGUAAAACACUGUUGUAAGAGAAGAAUGACAUUGAGAGUAACUGUUCAAUGUGUGACGGUAUCUUACCAGAAAGGAACGGCUAAAUACGUG